CCUACGGGUGGCUGCAGUAGGGAAUUUUGCACAAUGGGCGAAAGCCUGACGCAGCAACGCCGCGUGAACGAGACGCCGUUCGGGGUGUUAAGGUCUUACAGUGGGGACGAAAAAUGACGGUACCCACAGAAGAAGCACCGGCUAACUCCGUGCCAGCAGCCGCGGUAAUACGUAGGGGGCAAGCGUUGUCCGGAAUGAUUGGGCGUAAAGAGUGCGUAGGCGGCAUGUAAAGUCAGGUGUUAAAGGCGCAGGCUCAACCUGUGUAUGGCACUUGAUACUUGCAAGCUGGAAUGCGGUAGGGGUAAAGGGAAUUCCUGGUGUAGCGGUGAAAUGCUUAGAUAUCAGGAGGAACAUCGGUGGCGUAGGCGCUUUACUGGGCCGUAAUUGACGCUGAGGACCGAAAGCCAGGGUAGCAAAUGGGAUUAGAUACCCGAGUAGUC
rnacentral:rRNA from 1 species